rnacentral:miRNA from 1 species
ACUCAUUCUGAGCUGUGAAGU